CCGGGUCGGCCGCCUGAGGCGAGGCCGCGAGUACGCACGCGCCUGAGCCGGGUCUUCCUACCUCCGCCUACACUAUCCCGGCGCCGCCUGCGCGGCGGGGGCGGGGCGAUUGACAUCACCGCCGCAACAGAGUACGCGGGCGGGGCGCGCGCACCUUUAACUAGAUGGUGCUCCCCCUCUAGCUCUAUCCCCUGGCCGCGAAACUGCGCAGAUUUGGCAGUCCAGGCCACCACCUCAAUCCCCGCCCCUUAGGCCAGGCCGGAGAAGUCUCCAGUCGCUGCGUCCACCAGCGUUGGGGAAAGAGGCGGGGCCAAAAGCGAAGGGAGACAUUGGGUCCAGGGAGCGGGGCGGUGGGUCCCAUGCCAGGAGGAAGUCCCCUUCUGAGCCAAGUGGCUGACUUUUGCGUUUUAACUGUUUUAUUGUUUAACGUGACAAACACUGAAACCUGCCUAAAGCAAAUAGAUUCCAAGGGGCUACAGAGCAACGAGUCUUGUGAAAUCCCGCCUGACCCCCCAAGCGUCCCCUUCGCAUCUUUUAGCCAGCCGCUGCGCUGACUUGGAUGCUUUUCCAGACACUAGAGAGCUUGCUGUGGUGACAAAGAAGAGCUUAUGUGAGCACACAGUGAUAUGGCAGCCUCCUACCAGCCAAGAGAAGAAGCCUAAGAAUGACAUCUACUUUGCCAGCACCUUUAUCUUGGACUUCCCAGUCUCCAGAACUGUGAGAACCCACCCGAAUACCUCAGGAUAAUUUCCCCAUUUCAAGAUCUUUAAUUACAAUUGCAAAGAUUCCAUGGCAACGGAUGCAGCAGAUCCAGAACCACGACUUCCGCCCGAAGUGGAGGAGCAGGACGUCAGCGCGCUGCCGGUGUCCUGCGCUGGGGAGAGCAGAUGAAGCGCCCCCGGCCGCCUGGAUUUAACGUGGAAUCUGCGACUCCCAAGCAGGGCAAGGAGGGAAAGGACAGGAGACUUCCACAACCCAGAAUUUCAUCCCUCUUCCUGCAGAAAGGAACCAGGGCUCCUGGGAGAAAUGAUUGAUUCCAAAACUAAACAGAGAAAGUCCCAGAGGGAGCUGUAAAUCUCUAGCCAGACACCAGAUCAAUGGCUUCCAGGGUGGAACAGAAAUGGAUGCAGACUGUACAAAGGAAGUUUUAAGGUGAAGGAUAACGUUCUAAACCUGAUUGUGGUGGUGUGCCUGGCUGGCUCACUUGGUGGAGAAUGUGACUCUUGAUCUCAGGGUUCUGAGUUCACGCUGCACGGUGGGUGUACAGAUUACUUAAAAAGAAAAAACUUGGAGUGCUU